rnacentral:rRNA from 1 species
CCUACGGGGGGGCAGCAGUGGGGAAUAUUGCACAAUGGGCGCAAGCCUGAUGCAGCGACGCCGCGUGAGCGAUGAAGGCCUUCGGGUCGUAAAGCUCUGUCCUAAGGGAAGAAUAAUGACGGUACCUUAGGAGGAAGCCCCGGCUAACUACGUGCCAGCAGCCGCGGUAAUACGUAGGGGGCGAGCGUUAUCCGGAAUCACUGGGCGUAAAGGGUGCGUAGGCGGCCCUGCAAGUCAGGAGUUAAAUCCCUCGGCUCAACCGAGGUCAGCUCUUGAAACUGUAGGGCUAGAGUGCAGGAGAGGGGAGCGGAAGUCCUAGUGUAGCGGGGAAAUGCGGAGAUAUUAGGAGGUACAGCAGUGGGGAUGGCGGCUGUCUGUGCUGCAACAGACGCGGAGGGACGAAAGCGGGGGUAGGGUACAGACUUAGAUACCCUUGUAGUC